rnacentral:ribozyme from 13 species
ACAUUUCUUUCCUUUCUUUCCUCUAUUUCUUCUUUUCCUUCUUUUCCUUUUCGUUUUUUCUUUGAAGGCACACUCAAAGAAGAAGAGGAUGAAGACGAAGGUGGUGGAAAAGAAGAAGAGGAGGGAGAAG